UGGGGAAUUUUGCACAAUGGGCGCAAGCCUGAUGCAGCGACGCCGCGUGAGGGAUGAAGGCCUUCGGGUUGUAAACCUUUUUCGCUCAUGGUCAAGCCGCAGCUUUGGGCUGUGGUGAGGGUAGUGGGUAAAGAAGCGCCGGCUAACUACGUGCCAGCAGCCGCGGUAAUACGUAGGGCGCGAGCGUUGUCCGGAAUUAUUGGGCGUAAAGGGCUUGUAGGCGGUUGGCCGCGUCUGCCGUGAAAUCCUCUGGCUUAACUGGGGGCGUGCGGUGGGUACGGGUUGACUUGAGUGCGGUAGGGGGGACUGGAAUUCCUGGUGUAGCGGUGGAAUGCGCAGAUAUCAGGAGGAACACCGGUGGCGAAGGCGGGUCUCUGGGCCGUUACUGACGCUGAGGGGCGAAAGCGUGGGGAGCGAACAGG
rnacentral:rRNA from 1 species